UAAUAUCAUUUUCCCUAAUUCCUCUCCUCCGCCUCCAUCUCCACCUAACGCCGACUCACUUCCUCUUCUCCUCUUCACCUCUUCGCACCACCACUCGACGCAGCAGAUCGGCGCCAGUCGGCUGCCGGCCGUCAGCCGCUCGAGUCAUACCCAUGUCUCCUAGUUCUUCCCCUCUGCUCCCGACUUACGUCGCCACCCGAUUCGCUGAAGUCGUUGUCUCAAGAUCGUCGUCGGCCUUUGCUUCUCUCGAUCGAUCGACACUACCAUGUCGAUCCCCCUACGCUGUCGGACCGGCAUGGAUGCCGCCCUCUCCUUGCAAGCAACUAGAGCCAGCGUCGUCUCCCUUUCUUUCCACGCGACGCUGAAUCCGUGCCCUAGCGUCGACCCGUCACCAUCGCGCUGCCACACCACCCACCCUUGGAGUCCCUGUUCCGGACUGAGGGGCCAUCACCCUAUCGCCUCCGCCCUGUGGCCAGUAUAGCCGAUCGUUGCCGCUCUACCUUCGCUCCGGCCACCACCAUUCCAAGCUAUAAGGGGAGAAGAAGAAAAGAGGUGAAGUUGUCUGGAGAUAUGUUGGGAAGCUUUCUGAUGCCCAAAGGAGUAUGCUUGAUGAUAGAUUUAAAUGGAAGGCCAAAGAAAUGGAUUAGAGAAAGGAAAGAGAGCUUGGUGAGGUAGAAUUGCUCUAAGGUGUUCAGUUUGAGAAAAUGGAUCUCUCUCUCUCUCUCUCUCUCUCUCUCUAUAGUCUUGAUACCCUACUUAUUUUUAUGGUGUUCACAAGGCUAGAUGUAGCAAAACAAUGUGGAGAAGCUUACUCACAUUUUGUUUCUGUUCCAAUGGCAAUAAGGUCCGGCUAAUUCAUUGAAAAAUAUAAUUUGCUUCAUGUUCUAAAUAUUAAACCACAUAUUCCAACAACAAUCUUUCUUCCUGUUUUUGCUUAUUUUUUUGUUGAUAAUGCCGAACCUGAUGAAAGGCACAUUUUAGCUCGACAAUUUGCUACUGCAAAUGGACCUACUGACUGGCAUGAAACUCUUGAUUUCAUCGCAUUGGGUCUCUUGAUAUCA